GAUGAACGCUGGCGGCGUGCCUAAUACAUGCAAGUCGAGCGAAGCGGGGACGGGUGCGUACCACGUGGAUAACCUCCUAUAAGACUGGGAUAACUUCGGGAAACCGGAGCUAAACCGGAUACUUAUGUAUGGAUCCGGGCUGCAUUAGCUAGUUGGUAAGGUAACGGCUUACCAAGGCAACGAUGCAUAGCCGACCUGAGAGGGUGAUCGGCCACACUGGAACGGAGACACGGUCCAGACUCCUACGGGAGGCAGCAGUAGGGAAUCUUCCGCAAUGGGCGAAAGCCUGACGGAGCAACGCCGCGUGAGUGAUGAAGGUCUUCGGAUCGUAAAACUCUGUUAUUAGGGAAGCGGUACCUAAUCAGAAAGCCACGGCUAACUACGUGCCAGCCGCCGCGGUAAUAC
rnacentral:rRNA from 1 species